UACGGGGGGGGCUAGCGUUGUUCGGAAUUACUGGGCGUAAAGGGCGCGUAGGCGGCCUACUAAGUCGGACGUGAAAUCCCUCGGCUCAACCGGGGAACUGCGUCCGAUACUGGUGGGCUCGAAUCCGGGAGAGGGAUGUGGAAUUCCAGGUGUAGCGGUGAAAUGCGUAGAUAUCUGGAGGAACACCGGUGGCGAAGGCGGCAUCCUGGACCGGCAUUGACGCUAAAGCGCGAAAGCCAGGGGAGCAAACGGG
rnacentral:rRNA from 1 species